GAUGAACGCUGGCGGCGUGCCUAAUACAUGCAAGUCGUGCGGUAACAUGGGUAGUUUACUACCUGAUGACGAGCGGCGGACGGCUGAGUAACGCGUGGGAACGUGCCCCAAAGUGAGGGAUAAGCCCGAGAGAUCGGGUCUAAUACCGCAUAUGGUCUUCGGAUUAAAGCUUUCGAGCGCUUUGGGAGCGGCCCGCGUCUGAUUAGAUAGUUGGUGAGGUAACGGCUCACCAAGUCGACGAUCAGUAGCUGGUCUGAGAGGAUGAUCAGCCAGACUGGAACUGAGACACGGUCCAGACUCCUACGGGAGGCAGCAGUAAGGAAUCUUCCACAAUGGGGGCAACCCUGAUGGAGCAACGCCGCGUGAAGGAUGAAGGCCCUAGGGUCGUAAACUUCUUUUGUUAGCGAAGAAUAUGACGGUAACUAACGAAUAAGGGUCGGCUAACUACGUGCCAGCAGCCGCAGUAA
rnacentral:rRNA from 1 species